CAUGGAAUGGGGGGACACACGCAAGCAGCAAUAACAAAGGGACAUUGGUUUGGACUGAGGUCUGAGUGAGUCAGUAUGUGUGCCAGCGCGCCGUUAAAUGCCAAUGCACAUUCUACCACCAUACUAGCAUUUGCUCAGCC